rnacentral:sRNA from 1 species
UUUUAUAGAGUUCUUAACAACUGCUCUCAAUUGCUUACAUCGUUAUUGUGGAACCCUUUACAUGUAGUGCUUGAGACAGUCAUGCAUUCAAAAACCAAGUAAAAAAAGAUUGGCGCCAAACUUUUUAGUGAUACCUGUGGCAUUCUGAAGAAAGGGUAGUAUAUUUUAUACCGCGAAAUUUAGUUUUGAUGUAUGUAAACAAUUAAAAACUAUGUUACGCUGUUUAUGAUAUUUUCAUAUCAAGUGGGAAGUGCUUUGUGAUGUGUCUAAGUACAAGCUAACUAUAUGUUAAACGCAUUUCCGCCAGUAUGGGUACAUGUGUUUGGUGGAUAUUGAAGUAAGUUUCAUGCAUAACAGGCAAUCAAAAUAUAAGAGUUGGUUAACAUCUUCUUCACAUCAGUUGAGUAACCUGAGUACAUAAGACACAUUUCAAAAAGGAACCAGUCUAGAGCGCUCGCCCUGUCACUGUGAUGACCACAAGGAUGGUUUGCAAGGCUGCGAUAAGUUUGAUGUUUGUGUUAUCGAUUAUCUCCAAAAAAGCCAAUGGUAUCAUUUGUAAAGGUCUGAUGCUUCCAGGGGUACAAGAAUGUCCCAAGGAAACGGAAACCACCAAGGAAUCUUCUUCAUUGUCGACGAAUCCUACUCUUCCUCGGCAAUUCGUAAACUGGUCGGAAACAUCGCCACAGCAGACAUAUUCACAAGAUUCUGUCACUAGCGUGUCAUUUUCAAUCAGUGUCAAUGUUGUGUCUGUGUCAGUAUUGAUAGAAUUGAUUGGACUGAUAAUUUGUAAUAUGUGACGUGAAUGUUAGUCAUUGAGUUUAUUAAAAGAACAGUUAACAUC